rnacentral:misc_RNA from 1 species
ACUUGUAUCAAGUGAAACAAAAGAGGGCUGAAGGACUUCUGUUUGGGUGCUCUCUGCUGCAGUUGAGUAUUUAAAUGUGAAAUGAAAAAGACUAAGGUGUCAAACUAACGCAUGCAUGCUGACUCCUGACUCUUCCUUUUGGAGACUUCUCCUCUUUUGCUAUCCAUAUUUUUUUGACUUAUUUUUACUAAGCUGUCAAAUUGUGGUUCCAGAUGUGCUGUUGUCUAUUGUUUUGAUCCUCACCUCGGAGAGACAGUUCCAUUGCUAAUUAUAACAACUGUACAAGUGCAUCUGAAAAUG